AGAGUUUGAUCAUGGCUCAGGAUGAACGCUAGCGGCAGGCCUAAUACAUGCAAGUCGAACGGAAUGAGGUAGCAAUACCUUAUUUAGUGGCGCACGGGUGCGUAACGCGUAUGCAACCUACCUUUUACUGGGGGAUAGCCCGGAGAAAUCCGGAUUAAUACCGCAUAAGAUCACACGAGGGUAUCUGAGAGUGAUUAAAGAUUUAUUGGUAAAAGAUGGGCAUGCGUGCCAUUAGCUAGUUGGUAGUGUAAGGGACUACCAAGGCGACGAUGGCUAGGGGUUCUGAGAGGAUGAUCCCCCACACUGGUACUGAGAUACGGACCAGACUCCUACGGGAGGCAGCAGUAGGGAAUAUUGGGCAAUGGAGGCAACUCUGACCCAGCCAUGCCGCGUGCCGGAUGAAGGCCUUCUGGGUUGUAAACGGCUUUUAUCAGGGAAGAAACGACCUUUGCGAAGGGAAUUGACGGUACCUGGUGAAUAAGCACCGGCUAACUCCGUGCCAGCAGCCGCGGUAAUACGGAGGGUGCAAGCGUUGUCCGGAUUUAUUGGGUUUAAAGGGUGCGUAGGCGGCCCUAUAAGUCCGUGGUGAAAGCCAACAGCUCAACUGUUGAACUGCCAUGGAUACUGUAGGGCUUGAGUACAGACGAGGUAGGCGGAAUGGAUGGUGUAGCGGUGAAAUGCAUAGAUACCAUCCAGAACACCGAUUGCGAAGGCAGCUUACUAGACUGUAACUGACGCUGAGGCACGAAAGCGUGGGGAGCGAACAGGAUUAGAUACCCUAGUAGUCC
rnacentral:rRNA from 1 species